UUGCCUCCAAGAAUUCUGCAUCUUCCGUAGCCGUAUCAUUUGGUAAGACAUGAGUUUUGGCACCAUCAUUUCCCCUAGCAAAUCCACUAGCGGUAACAUUUGGCACAACAUGUUCACUUUAGGGUGUGUCAUGGAAAAACUAAAAUCCAUCAGCAGGCAUGCCUGGACUAUCGGCGUCGAUUGUUUGCUGGGUCCCCAAUUGUAUAAGGCGCCGAGCUACCCUCUCCAUGCUUUGUCUAAAUCAAGUAAUCCUUCAUAAAUCCUCGGCAGACUAGAUGAGAAAUGAUCGCUUCAGUAUCUUCAAAUAGAAUAAUAUUUCUGCAGUCGUAGCAUGGACAAUAUAUGUGCUUCAUCUUUGUUCUCAAAGCAUGGUUCUUAGCAGCAUCAACAAACCUAUGCACCUCAGGUAUAUAUGAUGGAUCUAGUCUUGAUAAGUUUUACAUCCAUAAGGACCUCUCAAUUAUGAGUUUUGGAAAAACUUGUAAAUUAAUUGAUCUUGCAAAACAAGUAUGAAAUAUUGUCUAGGAAUAUUUGUUAUCUAACCCUUCAAAUAACAACCUGUGAAGAUGAAAACCUCCCGCUUGCAUAUCUACCCAAUUUGUAGACCUCAGAGCUAACAUAAAAAAUAAAGACAAAACCCUAAGUAAUAAUUCAAAAAAGAACACCUAACAACUAAAUCAAAUGACAAGAUAGAAAAACACCAUUGAGGGAAUCAACUAAAUAUAUAUCUUGAUUUCACUAAAAUAAAUUUGAGAAGGAAACAUGGAAAUGGUGAGAGGAGAGGCAUCAUCUCACCAUCUUAAGCAACCUCAUACAUGAAAAAUGCAUAUUGCAUAAUUAAAUCAAAUUUAUAUAAAAAAUAACAUCCUAAACAAUAUAAUUAAAAAACUAAAAAGAAAAAUUAUCGUUCUCUCUCUUCCCAAGCAUGGAAACACCAUUCAUGCAAACCACUACAUACAUAUUUCUUGGAUUCACUAAUUAGAGAAGGAAACAUGGAAAAGGAGAGAGAAGAGACAUCAUAUAACCAUCUUAAGCAACCUCAUUUGAGCAAAUAUAGUCCAUACCUAGCUACUCUACUCUCUCCCUCUCAUGGUGAAACCCUAGAUCCAAAAAGUAGCUAAAAUUGAGCAAGAGGACACAAAAAGAGGCAUUAGAGGCAUCAACUAACUUUUCUUAGCCACCUCCUUCCAAGAAAUGAAGAUCAAAACCUCCCCUCUUGUAUUUUGGAAAAUCUGGACCUCCAAGAUGGGCUCCAAUGGAAGGUGGCUGCAAGCUACAGUUCUGCCCGAGGAGGAAGAAAGGGGGAUGGGGGGUAUUUAUAGGAAGAAUAACACAGGCGGUUUGCUUAAGGAACCGCUUGUGUAAAAAUAUUAACACAGGC
rnacentral:lncRNA from 1 species